rnacentral:lncRNA from 1 species
GCUAGACAUCUUGCUCCCUCCCCAUAUGUUCCUAGGCCACAGGACCUGGUGUGAGACCAGGAAGCCCAUAAUUGCUUCCUUCUGUGUGAUGGCCCCAAUGUUCAGGCCAGGUUGAACUGAGAGGACUGAGCUUCAGCCCUGCUGAACCCCUCUGAGCUUCUCCAGACUCCACCCAUCUAAUAGAACCUCAGUAACUCCCCGACUGAGGUGCCAAGCCCUGCAUUCGGAUGGUGCUGUCAACACCAUGGCACAGCCCUGGGCUCCUGGAGUUGACAGAGAUUAAGAGAGAUAACAGGAUUCAGGUAUGCAGAAAGAGAUUGGGAGCAAGCUAGGGAGAAGGAGGGGGCAACUUGGAAGAAGUUUCCAAGAAGAGCCUCUUGGAAGAGCAGAGGGACAAGAAUGGGGGACAGGGGAUGGGAAGGGAAAGAUCGCCCACCAAGAUGUGGGGUGCAAACAUUAUAGGCAGAAGGGACAGCAAUAGCAAAGCCUGAAGUAGAGUUUUGCUGGGUGAAUUUAAUGGAAAGAAAAAUGGAUUUUGGAGCUGUCAAUGAGGUAUGUGGGCCUUGCAGACUCCUGUGAGGACUUGGCUUCUAGAAAGGAGCCACAGGAGUUCUUUGAGCAAAGGAGGAACUCCAUGCAGUUUGAGGUCUUAGAAAGAUCACUGUGGCUACUCUGAGAUAAGAUUAAUGGUUUCUCAAGUGUGCUCUGGACAGCAGCAUCUGAGAAGUUGUUCAAACAUAGGUCCUCAGUUGCCUGCUGAUUCAGAAAUCGUGGCAGGGGGUGGGUAGCACACAGAGAUUGUAUCGUAAAGAACCCUCCAGGGAGGGCAAGGGUGGCUCAAACAGUUUGGCUCAAGUUCAUCUAUUUCUUAGUUUUUUUUUUUUUUUUUUCCUUUUGUGGUAUUGGGGAUGGAAGCCAAGGUCUCUGAAUGUUAGGCAAGUGCUCUGCCACUGAGUUACAUCACUAGCCCUCAAAUGCUUCUGGAAAACUCUGAACCUACCAGAGGCUCUGAGGAGAACAGGUCAUACGGUCAACUGUGUGUGGAAACAAGGCACACUUGGUUAGCUCGCCAACCCACAACUCUGAAUGCUUCUGGCACACACACAGCCUGUUAAAGGCUCCUGCCAAAAUCCACAAAAAUGAAACCACUUAACCUAUGUUCAGUCCAGGUAAAUUAUAUAAUACACUUUCUUAACUUUUUUUUUUAUCACAGAACACCCUAGAACACUGUAUAAACAUCUGGCCACAUUGAAAAAUGCCGAUUCAGUGUUGGUUUAUUGGUUUAUUUUCUCAGGCUCCCAUGCUGCAUCUAGAAUGACCACUCAACAACUGCCCUUUGAAAAAUGCACAAAUCUCUCCAUGAUGACCCUAAUCAGACCUGGGUGAUUUACAAACCAAUUGACCUUUCCCCAAGAUUUGGGAGGGUCUUGGCUACAGUUCCUCAUGCAUUGACUCCCUGGGCUGCCCUGGGAGCCUGGAGGCUUGGGAGAAUCCAAGAACAAGAAGGAGAAGAUGAAAGGCCACCAACUCGGCCUUUCCAAAACAAUGACCAUCUGUGGUGCUCAGAUUGCCCUCUUGGCCUGAGCUCAUGGCCAAGUCACAAGGCAUCUUCUCAGAAGAUUUUUUUGGCCAAGAACCAUCCUCUGGGCCUAAAUGAUGUGUUAUUUAUAGAAGGAUUCUGUGGAUCCCAGGUCAUCAGUUCAGGCCAGCCCCCUGCCUUCAAGUUGAGCAGCCACUCUUCUGGCCCUUGCAGACAGCCAAGCAUCAGACCUGCCUCAGGGCCCUUUGGGGCCUUAAGGAUGGCCUGGCUUUCCUUUGCUCUCAAGGAAACCUCACCAGGGCCCAUUCAUUAACAAGAGGUUUCUAACCAAGAGGUUCGAGUAGAGACUGAGGUGCAAAAUAGUCCAAGAAAUGCCAGAGUCUCCAUGGGCACUAGAGACCCCUGAAAAACCAGGUCCAUGUUCCCAUUGGCAGAUAGAGAAACUAAGGCCCAGAAAGGAGAAGGAGUUGUUAUGGUCACAUAGCUUGACUGUAAUGUCACUUUGGUCAAUCUAGAAGUUUUCAGGGGUGUACAGGGACGUCAAGACAGCACUGAGUGGGAUGACCACAGAGGAGGCAAACAGAGAAAGGGACAGUCAUUGAGAAAGACUCAGAGGGGUGUUGGGUUCUGAGAUAAAGAUUUGCUACCUGCUCUGUAGUCUAUCCCACAACCUCUACCCCUGACUUCAACAUGAGUACAGGUAGGGCUAGGGCAUGGUGCCACAUCCUAGGGUGCUAGGCAACCCUUGACAAGUGACAUAGUAGGACUGAGGGGUAAACAGUACAAUCCUGUGACCAUGCAUGUCUCACUCACGUGUGUGUGAUACCAUAUAUGAUAUCCCAAUCAUGGCACACUGUGACUGUCCUUGUGUGAUGGUAUCACAGCCCUGGGGGCACACUGUGGCUAUACUUGUGUGUCACCUGUAGCAAUGCGGCUUUGCAGCUACCUGUGUCUGUUGGUAUCUGUGUUGCUGUCCUUAUGACCAGAGAGUUGGGCAUGCAGUUGUGUGUGAGGUGAUGUUUGUGACUCUGCACCCCUGUGGCUCUGGGACUAUGUAUGUAUUUGAAAGGGACCAAAACAGCUCUUGGUAUUUUUGUGUACCUACAAAUCUGACAAGUAAGCUGCAGUGCAGAAACUUAGUCCUGAGAACUUUCAGAUGCAAAUUGUCACUUAAGUCUUCUUAAGAUGCGGGCAAGCUAUAGAAAAGUGAUCCCUUCUACCACGUAACUAUGGGCAUCUUCUGAUGUGCUGGCCAAAAGAAGGUGCAAGAGAAGGACUCAGAGGGGUGUUGGGUUCCGAGAUAAAGAUUUGCUAUCUGCUCUGUAGUCUAUCCCACAACCUCUACCCCAGCUCAGCUCCAAGGGGUUUCAGUUGACUCCUGGCCACUACACACAGUAUCCUGACCAGGUUUGGGAUNNNNNNNNNNNNNNNNNNNNNNNNNNNNNNNUAUGACCAGAGAGUUGGGCAUGCAGUUGUGUGUGAGGUGAUGUUUGUGACUCUGCACCCCUGUGGCUCUGGGACUAUGUAUGUAUUUGAAAGGGACCAAAACAGCUCUUGGUAUUUUUGUGUACCUACAAAUCUGACAAGUAAGCUGCAGUGCAGAAACUUAGUCCUGAGAACUUUCAGAUGCAAAUUGUCACUUAAGUCUUCUUAAGAUGCGGGCAAGCUAUAGAAAAGUGAUCCCUUCUACCACGUAACUAUGGGCAUCUUCUGAUGUGCUGGCUAAAAGAAGGUGCAAGAGAAGGACUCAGAGGGGUGUUGGGUUCCGAGAUAAAGAUUUGCUAUCUGCUCUGUAGUCUAUCCCACAACCUCUACCCCAGCUCAGCUCCAAGGGGUUUCAGUUGACUCCUGGCCACUACACACAGUAUCCUGACCAGGUUUGGGAUAAGAAAUGGACUGUCCCAGGGCAAGUGCAGAGAGAGAUGUUGAGGAUGAUGGUGGGGAUACCUUGGAGGGCCCAAGUCAGCUUAUAUGUAUGUGUAUGGGUGGUGAUGUGGUGGCAGGGUGGCAGGACCUGGCCACUCACACAUCUUUCCCAGGGCAGACUCCCAAAGGUGCCCAAGCAAUGGUGUGCCCAGUAAACAAACUUGCUCAGGUUCCCCUCUCCAGGCCCCUUGGUGAACUGUCAUCAGCUUCUGGCUUUCCACACUUGCAUCUGUGCUGACACAACCUACCCACAAACUGUCCCAUCUCUGGGGCCCAAGGACUCAUCCAUAGACACUCAUUCACACACAGUCCACCACUAAUCCUCAUUUAUCCUCCCACUCCACUCAUUCAUGCAUUCACUCAUUCAGUCAACAAAUACCCAUUGAGCUCCUGUAAUGGGCCAGCAAUCUGUUGACCUCCUCCAGUUUUCCCAAGUCAGAGCAAAGAAGGCACAGUCCCAAGAGACCCUUAGCGCAGGCAGCUCAGCAAAGAGGAACCUGGGGCUGGUGGGCUGGUGGCCGUUAGCUGAGGGGAAGCAAAGAGCUGGUGUCAUAACCAGGCCAGUGCAUUAAGCCAGACGGGUUCUGGAAAUUGGGUAAACAUGUGGCUUCGCCACCCUCCCAUGUAUUCCAGGCUGGGUCUGGCACAGUCACCCUGUCUGGGGCCCAGGGUCUGCUUCAUCUGGAGUUGAGUCCCAAGGCUUUAAAGCUAUCCUCUCAUUCCAAAUCCCAUACAACAAAGUUCAUCUCCCAGUUGGCUCUCAGGUUUGCCUAGGUUGGGCCCAAAUUGCCUUUUUAUGAAAGGCACCUCAUGUCCCCUUCCCACCAUCCAUCUAUACCAGACUUCAUGACUUCCAAGGGCAAGGGGGGCUAUGGUCUUCCAGCUCCUCCUCACUCCGCCUCACAAGUGUCCCCCAGAGGAUCUAUGGGUCCCAGGGAAACUGCUGCCCUCACCUAUAUGGGCCCUGCAGACCUCUUCACUGCUGAUCCUGGCUGCAUCUUAGUCCCAAAGGCUUACUUGCUAGGAUGCAAGGUGGGAGUGGGCUGAGCAGGCUUCCCCUACCAGGUGGCCAUCACUCCUCUGCUGAUUUUGCUCAUAACUCCAAAGCCUAUAUCAGGACCACAAUAAUUCUAGAGCUGGUGAAUGUCAGCAGGUCACAAUUUGGUUAGUCUUAUGCAAGAAUCUGUUAACUCAGUACCUAUGGAGGCCGAUAAUGCCUGUAGUCUUACCGCUCCCAGAAGAGUCUGAGGUUUUGUUUAUUUUUUUUUUAAUUAUUUUUUUAGUUGUUGAUGGACACAAUAUCUUUAUUUUAUUUAUUUUUAUGUGGUGCUUCACAUGUGCUUAGGCAAGCUCUCUACCACUGAGCUACAACCCAGCCCGAGUCUGAGGGUUUAAUUAAACCCAAAGGGAACUUCUGUAAAGAGAGCCACCAGUGGCCCCUUGGAUACCUUGCAAGGGNNNNNNNNNNNNNNNNNNNNNNNNNNNNNNNNNNNNNNNNNNNNNNNNNNNNNNNNNNNGGUGAAUGUCAGCAGGUCACAAUUUGGUUAGUCUUAUGCAAGAAUCUGUUAACUCAGUACCUAUGGAGGCCGAUAAUGCCUGUAGUCUUACCGCUCCCAGAAGAGUCUGAGGUUUUGUUUAUUUUUUUUUUAAUUAUUUUUUUAGUUGUUGAUGGACACAAUAUCUUUAUUUUAUUUAUUUUUAUGUGGUGCUUCACAUGUGCUUAGGCAAGCUCUCUACCGCUGAGCUACAACCCAGCCCGAGUCUGAGGGUUUAAUUAAACCCAAAGGGAACUUCUGUAAAGAGAGCCACCAGUGGCCCCUUGGAUACCUUGCAAGGGUCUUGACAAGGAGGUAAGUGAGAAGGUAAGGACACAUUGAGGUGUGGCCACAGGAAGGCAAGCCUGGCUUGAAUCCCAAUCCCAGCUCUCAAACUCUGGAAAAGUCACUUGUUCCAAGGCUCAGUUCCCUCGUCUGUAGCCAGCAGAUAACACUGCCUGCAUGCUAUUUCCAGGUGCUGGUGGCUCCAGAGAGGCUGAAUCUCAUUGAGGCAGCACUCUGAGGAUGGGACUACAGGGAGCCAGUUCAUAGGGUGUUUGUGUGAAACACACACGGUGUCUGGAUCUACCGUGCCUAUGACAGAGACAACAUUCAGUAAGACAAAGGCUCUUACCCUUUCUGUUAGCACCAAGAAGGAUGUCGCAGUGGCUGCUGGAACUCGGAAUGGAGGUAAGGAAGAAAGGACCAGGUCUUCCUCCCUGCCUUUGGAGACAAGUUCUAGAGUACAGGAGAGAAAAUCUUUCUCUUACCAGGGGCUCCCAAGGAGAAAUAAGAGGAGGGCAGAGAGGUGGCCUCUGCUAGGCUGUAGGCCCUGGUGCUGUUCAGGCUCGGAGCCACUGACCAGGCAUAGGGGAUAGAGGGUGGGCAGCAUCCCCAAGCAUGUGGGAGUCCUUCCCAAGGUUGCGGCUGGCUGCCCAGGCACUCCUAGAAGUCUCCUCAGAGUCAGGCUGGCUGGUAGCAGAACCAAAGCCCUGGCCAGCCUCCUUAGCUAAGCACUCCCAUCUGCCUGGACCUGUCACCUAGACUAGAGAAAUCUCCACAGAGACCUAAGAACUCAAAGCAGCCUCAGCAUCAUUAUUCCUCACUUCCUCCACUUCCCAGAGUGGAGGACCAAGCCAGAAGGCAGAGUUCAGCAGGUCAUCCUUGCUGGCUAUGUGACUUUGGGCAAGUUACUUAACCAUUCUGAGCUUCUGUCCCAUUCUGGACUUAUCACUGCACUGGCUUGUAUAGUUGCUUCAAAGGAGACUUGAGUUGUACACAAGCACAGCCCCAGGCCAGACACUCAUAAAGAGCUGCUGCUGCUGCUGCUGCUGCUGCUCCUGUACCUGUUAAAGCACUGUUGUCCACCUUGGCCUUCAUAUUGGCCCUAGUCACUCAGCACCAUUUCUCUGAAUUGCUCACUCACUCCUUCCUCCCCUGCUCACCUUCCAGCUCCCCAUAAUAUGAGCCAAAGGAGCAGGUUUUUAAAUGUCUACAGGGCCAGAGUGGAAUGAAAGCCCCUGUACUGGGUGAUAAUCACAUUGAUGGUGGAAUGUGUUGGGACUCUGACCACCCACCUGCUCUGCUAUACAGCCCUCCUUCUCCCCUGGCUCUCUUGGCUCUGGCCUCCUUGGCCUCCUCCAUAUAAGUCUCCUUCCCUAGCCUUCAUUGGGCCCUCUUGGCCAGGCUGCUCUGUCCUAGGUGUCAUCUCCUUGACAUCAGGUCCGAGCUCCAGCAUGGGGGCUCCUCUCUCCAUUCUCUAUACAAGUGCCCUCACCCAUACCAUCCCCAGACUUUAGUGACUUCUUUCCUGACAUCUCCCCAGCAAGGAGGGAGGGUGUGGGAGGAAGGCUCCCUUACACUGUGCAUUUAGCAUCUGGCCAGAAGAAGGGGCUCAGCCUGCUCCUGUCACCUGCCUCUACUCCAUCACCUCAAGGGGCCCUGCUCUGGCCUGAUCCACAUGUAGGGCUGAAGGAAUGAGACGAGGAAGUGGGGACCCCACCUCUGAGCCAGUCCUUUCCAGAGAGCCCCUCUAAACUGUCGUAAUCAACACUGGGUGUAGUGGCACACAUGCCUAUAAUCCCAGAGGAAUCCUCCUCAGGAGGCUGAGGCAGGAGGGUCACAAGUUCAAAGCCAGUCUCAGCAACUUAGCAAGGCCAUAAGCAACUUAGCAAGACCCUGUCUCAAAAAAUAAAAUGGGCUGGGGAUGUGGCUCAAUGAUUAAGUGCCCCUAGUGCCCCUGGCAUCCCUGGGUUCAAUCCUCAGUAAUGUCCCCCUCCAAAAAAGAAAGAAAACCCAAACUAUUCUAAUCAGGGCUGGGGAGAUAGCCCAGAGGUAGAACACUUGCUUAGCAUGUCCAAAGCCCUGAAUUCAAUCUCCAGUAUUAAAAUUAAAAAAAUAUCUACUCCAAGUGUUGUGGUACAUACCUAGAAUUCCAAUAAAUUGGGAGGGUAGCAAGUUCAAGGGCAACCUAAGCAAUUUAGUGAGGCCCUAAGCAACUUAGCCAGACCCUAUUUCAAAAUAAAAAGAGCUAGGGAUGUGAAGCUCAGUGGUAAAGUAUCCCUGAGUUUAAUCCCCAGUACCAAAAAAAUAAAUAAAAUAAAACUACACUAAUCUUUCCCCUAGCUCCCUAACCUAAGCACUCCUCCAUUAUAAACCCAGAGGUUGUGUGACUAGAAAGCAGGACACCUGGGUCCCACCACAGCCCAAACAUCUUACUGUGUGAGCUUGAGUGAGCCCUCUCCCCUGGCAGGGACUUGGUCUUUUAGCUCUAAAGGGCUUAGGACUGUGGACACAUGCCCAGUAUAUAAGGCCAGGCAGGUAUUGUUGCUUGGACACCACAUGUCCUCAGGGUCCCUCAGAUCCCCUGAAGGAAGGACUGGUAAAAAAAAAAAAAAAAAAACUGGAGAAAAAUGUCCUGCCUGGGCCAGAUGAGAAAUCUCCUGAUUGUUAACUGUGAAUAACUAAUUCACAUGCUCCCACCCUUGGCCCUACUCCAGUGCUGCUGUCAUCUCCCUUCAGUCAUGAUUGCCUACUAAGACCUCAUCAGUCACAAUGUUCUCUGACAUUUACAAGAUUGGGAAUCACAGACAGGCUAUGCUUGGAUGUGGAGGGGAAGGAGGUCAGUAAGACUGAGGAUAACACUGAUAACUCGCUCAUUGGUGGCAAUGCCUCUAUGAAAGGCCCCCAGGGUGAAGGUAUGAAAGCUCAGUGAUCACUGAGAUUGAUGCUGUCAUGAACCAUUACCUGCAGGAAAGCACCGUCACAAAAGAAGCUACAAAAAGGACAUCUGGGCUGAGAGUAUAGCUCAGAGCUAGAGUACAUACUUAGCAUAAAAAAGGACAUUGAAGAUACAUAAUAGAUUCACAGAUUGCAUGAAGUUGCUGAGCACAGUAGUGCAUGCCUGUAAUCCUAGGGAAUUAGGAGGCUGAGACACGAGGAGUGCAUAUUCAAGGCCAGCCUUGACGACUUAUUAAGACCCUGUUCCAAAAUAAAAAUGUAACAAGAGCUGGGGAUGUAGCUCUGUGGUUGAGUGGUUGAGCACCCCUAGGUUCAAUCCCCAGUAUCAUACACAUGUAUAUACACAAAGAUCAUAUAAAAUCAAUAAAAGGCAACAUUGAAAGGCAAACCAGAAAGAGUAAAACUGUUCAGGAUAGGUACUGUAGAACAAACCAAACAUAUCCUUGCUAAUUUCAAAAAUUACUAGUUCUUUACUGGUGAAAACAAGAAUCUAGAUGACAUGGUUGCUCUGGUGGAUUGCCAUGAGGAUGGUGUGACCCUCCAUAUAUGAUUUUUCUUUCAGGAUGAUUUAAAAAUGGGAAAAUGUUCAAAAAGUUGGAAAUUUCUUUGAUCUGUCACCUGUCAUUAUUACUGUUAUCUACAUAACAUCAGGACAAAUGAGAUGGAUGCUCUUUAUUUAUUUUAACCAUGAUUUCUUAGGAGUGGAGCAUUAUUUUUUAAGAAAAAAGUAAUUGGGCCAGACACAGUGGAGUACAACUAUAAUCCCAGAAACUCUGAGGCUGAGGCAGGAGGAUUACAAGUUCAAGGUCAGCCUGGGCAACCUAGGAAGAUCUGUCUCAAAAUAAAAAUAAAAAGAGGUUGGGGAACCAGCUCAAUAGUAGAGCACCCCUAGGUUGGAUCUCCAGUACCAUGAAAAAGGAAAAAAAAGAAGAAGAAGAAAACUGGUUGGUGGUAUAGCUCAGUGGUACAUUCCUUGCUUAACAUGAGGGAGGCCAUGGGUUUGAUUCCUUAGCACCACAAAAAAUAAAUAAGUAAAAAAAAAAGAAAAAGAAGGGAAGAAAAUACCAUGUAGGCACUUAAACCAAAACAAAAUAAAAAUAAAAAAUAAAACAAACAAGAACAAUUUGAGUGAGCCAAAUAGAACACAUCUGGGCCACAGUUUUUGGGUGCUGGGCUAGAGGUCUAGGUUCAGGAGUCCUCUAGGGCUCUCUGGACAUUUCCUGCUCUCUAGGCUGGGGUAAUAUUCUCUAUGAACUUCACUCCAGACCUGCCUCCCCUUUAAACAGCUGCCCACCCUUGCCCCAUAGCUGGCUUCACAAAUGGAGGCCCAGGCCUGGGCUGCCCCUUCCAGGAUGUCACAAAGCCUGAGGGGGUUCUAAAGUCAGGAUCACGCCAAGGCAUGUUCUGGGGGCCUCAGAACCUUCUGUCCUGGCUUUUCCCAAAAUUCUGUCUCACAUGAUGGCUCCUGGGUCCUGUUACUAGAAACCCUAGAGCUCAUAUCUCCAAUCCUUCUGGGCAGAGCUGAGCCGUUUCUGAAACCUCUGGUCACUCUGCGAGGCUACCUCUAUACAAAAAAGGCACCAACUUCCCAAACAGCACUACAUCAGCAGCACAGGCUAGAGGGG